ACUGAAAGAGCCGAGAGAGAGCGCGGGGAUGAGCAUUUCUGCCAGUGCUCUCUCAUAUCGACUCGGUGACCCGCUUCACUACGCUUUGGCAUUCAAUUCGUCACGCUGUCAUGUUUGCUCGAAGCCUUAAGAAGAGAAACUCCAGUCGGUUGCCCACUGUGCUUGAUGAUCUAGAAAGAGGACAACCUUGUAGCAUGUGUGGGGAGCAGUGUCCUGGCUUCGUUCUGCAUAAAUGGAGGAAGUCUGUCAUCUUCUUACAAUGAUCAACCCAUUUGUCUAAAGGAGAGCCUACUCAUGCUCAAACAUUCUCUUACACAGCGAGCAGAUCUGAAUUAUGGUUCCAUGGGGAGUGAGACAGGCAUGGGAUAAGAUUGAGCUCUUGUUUCUCCAUCAGAUGACAUUUGCACUUUCUUCUCCAGUGCAGGUUAUUGUAUGUAUGUGUGUGUGGAUUAGUAGACUCAGCAGAUGCUGGGUGAUCCUGCUUUCCUGCCCUGAGGCAAACGCUUACCAUUUGCACCAUGUGUUUGCAUUUGUGUUUACGGGUGUAACCAUGCUGGUGGAUUUGGGUGUAGUCUGCAUGUGCACUGGGGGGCUCCUGCACGCUGACUGGAAAUUUGAAAGUGC